rnacentral:lncRNA from 1 species
AAGGGCAGCUAUGCGAAAGGGCACGACACUAAAGGUCAUCACAUUGUUCAGCGACUGAAUGAAUUCGAAAAGAAGAAGGAAUUCUUUGACGAAGAUCACGAUGAAGCUCACAAGGAAAGACAUGGAUCUUUUGACGUGGGUGAAGCGUUUAAAAAAG